rnacentral:rRNA from 1 species
UUCUGGCAAGGUGCCGUCCGAGUUCCCUGGAACGGGACGCCGCAGAGGGUGAGAGCCCCGUACGGUCGGACGCCGAGCCUCUGUGAAGCUCCUUCGACGAGUCGAGUAGUUUGGGAAUGCUGCUCAAAAUGGGAGGUAAACCCCUUCUAAAGCUAAAUACCGGCCAGAGACCGAUAGCGCACAAGUAGAGUGAUCGAAAGAUGAAAAGCACUUUGAAAAGAGAGUUAAAAAGCACGUGAAAUUGUUGAAAGGGAAGCGCUUGCGACCAGACUCGCGCCCGUCGGAUCAGCCGUCGCUCGUCGGCGGUGCACUCCGGCGGGCUCGGGCCAGCAUCAGUUCGCCUCGGGGGGAGAAAGGCGGCGGGAAUGUGGCUCUACGGAGUGUUAUAGCCCGCCGCGUAAUACCCCCGGGCGGACUGAGGACCGCGCGUAUGCAAGGAUGCUGGCGUAAUGGUCGUCAGCGACCCGUCUUGAAACACGGACCAAGGAGUCGUCCUAAUAUGCGAGUGUACGGGUGUCAAACCCCUGCGCGUAAUGAAAGUGAACGGAGGUGAGAGCUUCGGCGCAUCAUCGACCGAUCCUGAUGUUCUCGGAUGGAUUUGAGUAAGAGCAUAUUGGGCCGGACCCGAAAGAAGGUGAACUAUGCCUGUGUAGGGUAAAGCCAGAGGAAACUCUGGUGGAGGCUCGCAGCGGUUCUGACGUGCAAAUCGAUCGUCAAACAUGGGCAUGGG